rnacentral:rRNA from 1 species
CGGCCUACGGGAGGCAGCAGUAGGGAAUUUUCGUCAAUGGGCGCAAGCCUGAACCAGCCAAGUCGCGUGAGGGAAGACGGCCCUACGGGUUGUAAACCUCUUUUGCCGGGGAGCAAGCCUGAGCACGUGUGCCCAGGCGGAGAGUACCCGGAGAAAAAGCAUCGGCUAACUCCGUGCCAGCAGCCGCGGUAAUACGGAGGAUGCGAGCGUUAUCCGGAUUUAUUGGGGUUAAAGGGUGCGCAGGCGGGC